UACGUAGGGGGCUAGCGUUGUUCGGAAUCACUGGGCUUAAAGGGCGCGUAGGCGGGCCGCCAGGCCCGCGGUGAAAUCCCCCGGCUCAACCGGGGAAGUGCCGCGGGGACCGGCGGUCUGGAGUGAGAUAGGGGCGUGCGGAACUGUGGGUGGAGCGGUGAAAUGCGUUGAUAUCCACAGGAACGUCCGGUGGCGAAGGCGGCACGCUGGAUCGUCUACUGAC
rnacentral:rRNA from 1 species